UACGGAGGAUCCGAGCGUUAUCCGGAUUUAUUGGGUUUAAAGGGUGCGUAGGCGGAAAGAUAAGUCAGCCUGUGAAAGUUUGCGGCUCAACCGUAAAAUUGCAGUUGAUACUGUUUUUCUUGAGUGUACAUAAGGUAGGCGGAAUUCGUGGUGUAGCGGUGAAAUGCUUAGAGAUCACACAGAAUAUCGAUUGCGAAGGCAGCUUGCCGGGGUACAACUGACGAUGAGGCACGAAAGUGUGGGUAUCAAA
rnacentral:rRNA from 1 species